rnacentral:pre_miRNA from 1 species
AGCCCUCUGUAUCCGUGCUGAGAUUUCGUCAGCGACCAACCCUCUGGCGUUGGCUGAUGCAACUUCCUAAAUAAGUGAAGCG